AGGCGGGCAAGGUGUCAUUAAGGGAGGGUUGGGUCUGCCCUGCGCAUCUGUGCAAGAUGGACGCCUCCCCGGGCAGCACCGCCCCACAGCAACAUGUGGACUGGUAUCCAACCAAACAAUUGGCCACUGUAGCCCAGCUGAGUCCAACACGUAAGAUCGGCCAUCAGAGCAACAUUUAGCCCCCAAGGGCACAAAACAUCCCUGAGCCAGGCACCGUCUCCACCCCACCCCCGUAUCCAGAUGAGGAAACCGAGCUCCAACAGGGCAAGGGUUCACUCUCUGGCUCCCAGGCCGAUACCACUCCCGACCACAGGACGGAUCCACACCGGCCCUGACAUGAUGCGGGACAAGUCAUCAGUCUUUCUUGUCCCUCCAGGGGAAUCACAGACUGCUAAGCACCGUAGGCUGGUCCAGCUGCCCGGACGCUCAGCCUCUUUCUUUGCUCCCUCCAUUUCCUCAGCUCGGUAGAACCAGAUGCCAAAGAGCCACAAGUUUCCAAAGCUGACAGCGGGGACUUUGGCAAGGACGAGCCACCAGAGCUCUCAUGGCUUGCCAGGGGGAGUGGAAAUCGGUGCCAUCACUUAGCAGAGCUGCUCAGCAGAGCCUACAACAGCUCAAUAACUGCCUCCCUGGGAUGACCAGCAAGGCUCAAGGGAAAUGUCCACAGAUGGCCACCAAAAGGUGUGCACCAGAAUGUGCCCGGCGGUGGCACUGUUCCUAAUGGCCCUGGGCUGGAGUCUCCACCAUCAGAAGGAGAAAUAAAGGGUGUUUUACUGAAUGGUACACAGUGGACACGUAAUGAGCCCGAAGGCGGCACGGGCACACUGACAGUGUGGGUGGCCUCCCAACGUGCUGAGUGUGGGGCACAGGACGGAAGGGGGAUGCCACCUGGUGUGGGUUCACAUAUGGACAGUUCAACGUGGACCAGAGAAAUCUAGGCUAUUGAAGGUGAGGACCCCAGGAGGUCAGUUAGUGGCAUGACCGACAGGAGGCCUGGUGCUGGUAACCCAGAUGUGCGGGCCAGGGGCUGCCAUCCAGCUGUGCAGGCAGGCUGGCCGUUCCGCUUUCUGAUAUUCAGAAAUACAAUGUUUAGGGACGAAAACCAACAACUCAGGGCCCCUCUGCAGAGCCCUCUGCUUCCCAGGUCCCUGAGGGGCAAC